ACUGAGACCUCCAAUAAUGACCAUG
rnacentral:piRNA from 1 species